AAGUCGUAACAAGGUUUCCGUUGGUGAACCAGCGGAAGGAUCAUUACAGAGAUCAUGCCCUUCGGGGUAGACCUCCCACCCUGUGUUAUUUACGUAUGUUGCUUUGGCGGGCCCCCCUCGGGGUGUGCCCGCCGAAGGACCCCCAACUCUGUGUUUAGUGUCGUCUGAGUACAAUCAAAUAAGUUAAAACUUUCAACAACGGAUCUCUUGGUUCUG
rnacentral:misc_RNA from 1 species